AGGUCAUUCAAUAAAGUUAUAUUGUAUAUUCCAUACGAAAAUAUCUUCGGCUUCCAAGAAAUAUGGAUAUAUUGGAUAUCGAUGAAGUAUUAAAAGAUGAUUCAUACAUUUUUCUGGCCGAUAAAACACACGAUGAUAUAUCAAAUAUUCUUCACCAAUGGAAAACUAACAAUCAACAACACUUGCAACAAUAUUUACAGCCGAGUAAUGAAGAAGCAUACAAGCAUAAUUCAAAAACAUUCACGAGGCCCAAACGCAAAUCACAGGCAGCAGAAAAAAUGGAGGCACAAUUUGUAAGUGAA